UGGGGAAUAUUGCACAAUGGGCGAAAGUCUGAUGCAGCGACGCCGCGUGAGGGAUGACGGCCUUCGGGUUGUAAACCUCUUUCGCCCGGGACGAAGCGAAAGUGACGGUACCUGCAGAAGAAGCGCCGGCUAACUACUUGCCAGCAGCCGCGGUAAUACGUAGGGCGCAAGCGGUAUCCGGAAUUAUUGGGCGUAAAGAGCUCGUAGGCGGUUUGUCGCGUCUGCCGUGAAAGUCCGGGGCUCAACUCCGGAUCUGCGGUGGGUACGGGCAGACUAGAGUGAUGUAGGGGAGACUGGAAUUCCUGGUGUAGCGGUGAAAUGCGCAGAUAUCAGGAGGAACACCGAUGGCGAAGGCAGGUCUCUGGGCAUUAACUGACGCUGAGGAGCGAAAGCAUGGGGAGCGAA
rnacentral:rRNA from 1 species